CAAGAAGGCGGGCACCUCCGCCCAGGGCAGACCGCGGGCGCCCCGGGCCGUCUCGUGGAUCCCUGGCGCGCCGGCGGGGCAGACGCCGGGGAACAGCCCGGGAGCGCGCCGGGCCGGGACGGCACGCGGGAGCGGCGGGGAAGUCCCGGACCUCCGCUGCGGGUCUUUAGAAAAGUGUGGAUGAAAGUGGAUGCAGCUCUGCCCGGCCACCUCCCAGAGGCGACCUUAUCAGAGCGCGAGGGGAGUGUUCCAGCCUCCUGCUGAGCUGGGAGCUCUUCAAGGACAGCACCACGUCUAGUUCAGCUUGGUGCCCGGUGCUUAGCCCCGUGCCCAAUCAAUAGUGCCCACAUUAAAUUCCUGGCCCGACCCAGGGAAGGAGCUGGAGCCCUCCUCUUCCCGCCUCCCACCUCCCCCUCGCCCGGGACAACGCCAGUUACUUGGUUAUUGCUGGGAUUCGGCGAGGCCCUCUUCCUACCGAAAGUCCUCCGUAACCAGAGGAUACUUCAGCCAUCCGGGCCUCCAUCCCAUUCACGACUGUGUCCUCCCAGCGCCUGCCGGGUUUUGCAGGACACGCUAUUUCUUAGCCUUUGGGAAGUGCGCUCCGCCUGCCGCACUUCUGUAGCCUCUGCUCGGCUGAGUAGGCCCUUCCACCCGACUCCGUCCAGGAUUAAGUCAGUUUCGAAUGUUCAAGAAGUUGACUGGGGAGGAGGUUUUAGAAUUUCCCGUUCAGUUGUUCUGACAGCGCAGCCAGAGUGAACCCAGGAAAACCAAGGCAACGUUUUACUUUCUGCGUUGCGUCGCGGGGGAGGAACAAGCGCUGAGAACACACCCCGAGGGAAACGCAAACCAAGUCUAAUGUUUGCUGUUAGGACAGAGGUUUCAGUUAGGAGCCGAAUCCUUUACUCAAAAACCUGAUUUUGCUUAACUUUUGUGAAUCAUCUUAUUGGAAUCCUUUUCACUCUUAUUAAUGAAAUAUUUGAUUUUACUUCAGAGAGAAUUGGUCUUAGAAAUGCAGGAAUGUAUUUGUUAAGUCUUUAUUCAAGAUUUUUGCUGCUGUUGUUCAAGAUGCAUUGUUUUACUUUUUACUCAUAUUCUUCAGGCUCCAAAAGCACAGUUAAACUGUACUUGUGGAAGAAACUGAAAGAUGUGGUCUGUUUGCUUAUUUUAGCAGGAAUUGAGUUGGAAAACAAGUUUUAAGCAUGGUGGAGAUAGUUCUGAUCAGUCAGCCCCUCUCCUCUGUCCUCUUUUCCACCCUGGGCUUGCGGUAUGGCCCUGCAAGGCUCCUGAGAUUCAGUCCACUGGCUGGCUUGGACCCUGCUCCCCCACCACCACCCCAGGAUCCCAGACUUCACACUGACUGAAAUGCUGCAAACACAGCCACUUCCCACACACCAACCCUCCCUUCAGAGAGGGGGAGUGAAGAGAAGAAAGGGGGACGAAAGAGAAGAUUGUGGAAACUAAUCUCCAGAGAGAAGCAGGCCUUGGGCAGGGCCUGUAUGGAAGAGGAACAAGACUCCCCAAGGCCUGCUCACACGAACAGAUUGUGAGAUCAAGAGCAUAAAAAUGGAGUCAUCGAUGGAAACCACUAUCUGGAGUUCAUCAUUUAAGUGUUACAACAUAUCCUUCUUAGAAAAUAAAAUGGCAUUUAUAUAAUUGGAGCAUGAA